rnacentral:lncRNA from 1 species
CCUAAGCCAGUUUUCCUGUAGUGUUUCAGACUAGCAGACCAAUCUUUACCAGCCAGAAGUCACAAAGACGAACAGAAGGAUGCUCCGUAUCGCUCUCCUCAUUGCCGUACUGCCCUGUAUGGCCAAAGCAAAUGAAGACCUUAACAGCCCAUAUGAUAUGACAAUGAGUCAUUUGGAUAAGAACUCAGCCCCUGACACCAGCAAGAAUCCCCAUGAGGUGUCACCGUCUUCACCAUGCUGCGGACUGGAUGAGCUAAAGCAUUCACUCGCCCAGCUAAUCCAGGAAAAGCAGGAGAGCAGGGGCUGGUAUGGCGAAAUGGUGAAGAUCCUAAAUCAGCUGGUGCAAGAAAACAAGGAGGUGGCCAGCGUUCAGGCUGAGAUGCUGAAGGUCCUGCGGGCCACGAGCGACCAAGGCGUGCAGCAGCUGCUCCACCUCCAGAGCAUGGCUCGCCUUCAGAGCCUCCUCGUGGAGAACCACCAGGCAUUGCUGCUGCAAGUGUCUCGCAUUGCUACCACUCUGCAGGAUUCGGCUAAGAGACAGAGCAAAUAAAUGCAUGGGCAAAACGACCAGAUAAAGCAUUUUGAUGGCAUAUUAUACUUGCACUAACAAAAAGGCACUCAAUAAUAGUUAAAAAAAGAAAGAAUCAUAAUAACCUAUAGCUACAUUAAAUCUGAAAUCGUAUUCAAUAAAUGAAAUGAAGUUGAUGUUUUGUGUUACUCUCUCGUAUAUAACAUCACACUUGAAAGUCCUGCUUUCUGGAAUGAUUUAUGUUAUGGUUCAUCUAACCUGUUGCAUGAAGAAAUGUCAAUAAACAAGCUACUGAUGACACCUUUGUUUGGCAUCAAGAAUCAUUGAAUUAAUGAGUCAACCCGUUUCAUUGUUUAUCUAUGCACAGCAUAUACCUAUACGCACUUUUUAACUUUUCUUGAGUUUCUCUGCUCUUCUGUGUGUCUGAGCAGAGUUUCCCGCACCAGUGAUAAAGCUGAACUCCUCUCCGCUGAGUCGAUCUGAGGUGGUCUGGUCAGCUUACAAACCCUUCAUUCUGAGCUGCGAGGGACAAGCGGAUAACAUAUGGAAGACAAGGCUCAGGAAACACCAGAAACACGUCUCACGAAAGACCCUCAGUGUCCAAAAGCCCACUACAGAGUACACAGGAACAUACCGUUGCAGUUACAAGAAUCAAAAAGACUUGUACUCAGAGAUCC